AAAAAAAAAAAUUUCAAGUUAAAACAAAAAAUUAUAUUAAAAAAAAAAAACCAAAUUUUUCCCUUCCAAUUUAAUUAAAGAAUAAAAAUUUAUUAUAUUUUUCAAAAAUUAAAAAUUAAUUAAUCGAUAAUUAAUAAUUAAAUUGUGAAUAAAUUUUAUUAUAUAAAAAAAAAAAGAAGUAAAACGUCCUUUUUUUGGAAUAUAUAUAUAUAUAUAUUAUAAACGUCUUUUAGAUAAGAGAGAGAGACUGUAGGAAGAGAAAACAAUGAUUAUUUUCAUUUCGAACUAGAACUUUUAUCUUUUUCAAUAUGUUCGUGUCAAGAAUCAAGUUUAAUGUGUGUUACUACGUCUCGAUCGAAGAGAAAAAUUCGAAUAAUCAAAAUUAUUAAAAAUUAUUUCUUACAAUAGGAAAAAAAAAAAAAAUUCAAUCAAAUCACGUACUAAUUUUUUUUUAUAUGUAAAAAUUGCAAAAAAGUGAUUUAAAAAAAAAAAAUUAUUAUUUUCUGUUAUGGAAAAAUGAUACCAAAAGAAGAAUCAUGUCUACUUGGUAAAUCUCGUUUCAAUUCACUUUGGAUAAAUUCGAGUUAUGAAAAAAAUUUACAAGAAGAAUUGACACAAGAAGAUUUAAGAUAUUAUACGGCUGGACCACUUUGGAUAAAAAUAAGAUUAGUUCUAUUUUGGUUGUUUUGGUCAAUUUUUGUUGUUGUUUUAAUAAUUUCAAUAUUAUUAUGCUGGUGUAUUAUACCUUCAUUGUGUUACGAAUAAUUUUUUCGAUUUUGUAAAGAAUCAUCAUUAUUUGAUUUAUCAUGAAAAUAUAUUUUUAUUAACCUAACCUUUUUAUAAUAAACCGAAUUCUAAAUAAUUAAAAAUUUUCAUUUCAUUUUCUAAUAAGUAAAAAAAAAAUGUAUUCACGAAAAUUGGACAUGUAUAUAAGAAAAUAAUAAUUGAUAUCAAAAU